AUACUCUGGUUUCUCUUCAGAUUGUAUAAAUCUUUCGCCUUUUACUAAAGAUUUCUGUGGAGAGGAACAUUUAUGAGUUUCGAUAGAGUAAUAAGAUAUGGAAUAGAACAUAAA
rnacentral:snRNA from 1 species